CAAAGGAUAGUUUAAAUAAAAUAUUAAUUUUGGAGAUUAAUGAUAGGAAUUUCUUUCCUUUGA
rnacentral:tRNA from 1 species